rnacentral:rRNA from 1 species
AUUGAACGCUGGCGGCAUGCCUAACACAUGCAAGUCGAACGGCUGAGGGGAGCUUGCUCUUGUAUUCAGUGGCGGACGGGUGAGUAAUGCAUAGGAAUCUACCCGGGAUAGGGGGAUAACCUCCCGAAACGCGCGCUAAUACCGCAUCCGUUCUGAGGUGGAAAGCGGGGGAUCUUCGGACCUCACGCUCUCUGCUGAGCCUAUGUCGGAUUAGCUAGUUGGUGGGGUAAAGGCCUACCAAGGCGACGAUCCGUAACUGGUCUGAGAGGAUGAUCCGCCACACUGGAACUGAGACACGGUCCAGACUCCUACGGGAGGCAGCAGUGGGGAAUAUUGGACAAUGGGCGAAAGCCUGAUCCAGCCAUGCCGCGUGUGUGAAGAAGGUCUUCGGAUUGUAAAGCACUUUAAGUGGGGAAGAAGGGGAGUAAGUGAAUACCUUGGCGUGUUGACGGUACCAACAGAAGAAGCACCGGCUAACUACGUG